AUGUUUCCGCAGUGGCAGUAUCGUAACCAAUGAGGUGAAACCGAGGUGCGAUUAUUGUUAGUUGAAAACUUUAACCAAUACCCCGCCUGGACGUCGUGAAAGGCCAACGGCCAAUUUUUUAAAGAAUUUCACUA